GGUUGAAUAGUAUAGUUGGUUAUUAUAUUGAAUUGCAAAUUCAAUGAUGUAAGUUCAAAUCUUACUUUAACCU
rnacentral:tRNA from 1 species